CAAACAUAACAUUUGAUCCCAAAUCAACUCCGAUACACGUCACGUUAAACGCAUAGCAAAAUUAAAAAAAUCAAAUAUUAUUUUAUGCUCUAUAAUUGUUAGAAAUGUAAAUGUAUGCAAUACUAUAAAUCCAUAAAAUUCCAAACCUUGUGACCUAAAGACAUGCAUGUGCACAUUAUGCAGAAAGUUUUUCGCUCAGCCUUGUGCAAUAUAGAGAAUAAUCAUAAUAAUAAUGAUAUUUAUUGCCUUUUGCUAUGAAAGGGACAUUUUCUUGAACAUUUCUUAAUGAAGACAUUGUAAUUUAAAAAUAAAAACUAGCAUCCUGCAUCUUUGAUUGCCAGAUUCAUCAUAACACGCAUAAAUAUAAACAAAAAGACUCAAGAUAUAGCUCUUUAAAAAACCUGUGUGUGUGAUAAUGUCAUAUAGUUAGUUAAAAAUUGCUUUGAUUUAUAGGGAUUUAAUUUAGUGACUUUACCAUUUGUUUUAAUGAUGUUUAUUUACAGUGCAAUCUAUUCUGCUUACCCGACUCAUGCAGACUUCUGUCCUGAUGUUUGGCUGUAGUCCUUCCAUCAUCCACUCUUCUGCAACCGGUCUAUUUAUGGAGACCACCAUGAUCUAAUCUAUACAGAUCUAGUUGUCUCUUCUCCCACAAACUCCUCUUUCAGAUUUUGAGCGGAUCUCCUUCAUUCUGCCGCCAGCUCACCAGAACCUCAGGAUGCACCAGCUGUGGAUAUUACAGGCCAAACUUUGGUUUUCACAUUGUUUGGAGGACAAAAUCGGAAAGGAUGUAGGGGCCCACAGUUUGGGCACACAUACACAGUUCAGCUUUGGGUUUGUUGCUCUGUGCUGUUUAAUGUAUGGUAGUCAGAACUUUGUUCAGUUUUAUUCAUUACUGUCAGCUUUCACAGCAAUACUGCUAAAUGAGCAAUUAUCUCUAUCAAACAUGGACCUUAAAGGGAUGGUUCACCCAAAAACAUUAUUCAAAUAAAUAUUGUGGCAAUCAUGUUCAUGAAUCUGAUUUCAGUGGCACAGCUGUGUAGUAUCUAGUAAAGAGGUUGCUGACAGUAUUGUGCGCAUUGUACAUGAUGUUCACUGCCCAGUAUUGUAUUAUUGUUUACACAGUAAGUUUUCAGUAACAUUAUUUCCUUAUAAAAUGCUCUAACAUUUUUUUUCCUCUUCUUUUCUCCACCAGACACCCUAGGACAACAUCCUAAGCACAGAUCUACCUAUAGCCCUCCAUCAUUCCCACAUCCAUCUUGCAACAGUUUCAUGAAGUGCAGUCCAUAACCAGUUCACGGUCUACACAUUGUCCAUUGCAAAUGUUAUGGAUUAUUCUAAUAGAGAUCUUUCUAUUAUUUUUUUGAGACUGUUAUUAUGUACUCCGUUAUGUUGUGAAUAAAGUCAACCCCCCCCCCACCUCGAUGCUUUCAGCAGUUAAUACAUUAAAGUGUGUCCUUAAUGUUUUAUUAUUUAAAGAUUGUUUUAAAGUUUAUUACAGGCUCAGUUUAUUUUUUUUUCACUAGAAAAUAAAGUGUUGUAUUACCUGUCAUAAUCAAGUAUGAUACUUUUGUCAGUAUCAUUAAUUCUGAGGCAAUAUGAAUCAAAUUAACAUUUGUAUAGGGUUUUCAUCCGAAGGC